rnacentral:rRNA from 1 species
AUUGAACGCUGGCGGCAGGCCUAACACAUGCAAGUCGAGCGGGGUUUUCGGACCUAGCGGCGGACGGGUGAGUAAUGCGUAGGAAGCUGCCCGAUAGAGGGGGAUACCAGUUGGAAACGACUGUUAAUACCGCAUAAUGUCUACGGACCAAAGUGUGGGACCUUCGGGCCACAUGCUAUCGGAUGCGCCUACGUGGGAUUAGCUAGUUGGUGGGGUAAUGGCUCACCAAGGCGACGAUCGCUAGCUGGUUCGAGAGGAUGAUCAGCCACACUGGAACUGAGACACGGUCCAGACUCCUACGGGAGGCAGCAGUGGGGAAUAUUGGACAAUGGGCGCAAGCCUGAUCCAGCCAUGCCGCGUGUGUGAAGAAGGCCCUCGGGUUGUAAAGCACUUUCAGCGAGGAGGAAGGGGUGUGUGUUAAUAGUACACACCUUUGACGUUACUCGCAGAAGAAGCACCGGCUAACUCUGUGCCAGCCGCCGCAGUAACAC